UACAAAUCAACCUAAGGAACAAAAAGAAGAGAUAAAAAGUACAGAAAGAAGUAUAAAAGGUAAAAAAGAAGUAAACCCAAAAGCUCAAAAAGCAAACCACUCGAUGCAACGUGAAAUAGAUAGAAUUCUCUUUUGUGUAAAGGAAAACCAACGCUAGUAUCAACAAAUAUUUAUCACCGGCUGUUUCAAAGAAAGGUGGCAUUAAAAGCAGAUCAGCCAAAAGAGAUUUCUUUCAACCACACAUGAAAACUCCACUCUUGCACGCUCCUUUCCUCAUUUCAAUCACCGCCUCCUUCCUACAGCGAUUUCGCGCAUGCAAACACCUCAACAACGUACCUUGUAGCGUUUGUCCUGCAAAACACGCUUCACAGCAAUGAACCCCGGAGUGCCAACUAAUUUUGCUUGAAUGACGACUCCAAAACUACCCGAUCCCAGUACUCGACAUGGUUCGUAAGAGAUCGUUUUCUUCUCUCCGGUAGUCCCAUCAGUAACGACCUUAGUUUCUAAAUGAGAGUCAUCUAUUCAUCGUUAGUACUGAAAUCCUUUAAAUUUUUCUUAUUUACCACUCAUUUCUCGAAAUAUGUGUGUUUGGUUCUUAGCGACUAUAAAAUGGUUGAAUGGCACUGGUUUUGGUGUGUUUACGUCAAUGUGGGGAGGUAGGUGUCCAGCGCUGUAAAUAAUGCCAGUAGCAGGGAACAGCCAGAGGAGGGGGUUUAGAUUGCAGAGAUGAGGUGGAAAUGCUAUGGCAGGUAAAUAAAUAAAACAGGGCAACGAGUUUGUUAAUGCUAGGUUAUAGUACAAUAGGGAUACAUAGUAUAUGCUCACUAUUUGUAGAAUGUAGAAGAUGCUGGUUUCUGGAUACAAUAUACUAGGUGGGCGGUUAUAGUUUCAUGUAUUUAAAUAUUUAAUAGAUUAUUGUAUUAUUUCAUAUUAAUUACUCAUCUCAUUAUAUGGGUUUGCAUUUUGGAGAUGGUUAACGAAGGGAUGGGUUCAAUGGACUAAUGACUUACUACAUGGCAUACAAGCUAAACGAGAGCAUCAAAUUAGUAGGGAUUUGUUUUCUGCUCUAAUGAAAGGUUCAUUCUCAUUUUCUUACGAGCUUCCUCCAUACCGAACUCAAUUGGUCGUUUCUGUUUCUUCACUACACCUUUCUAUAUCAUAACUUGUUUAGUAGGAAGAAUAAACAUACACAUGUUCUAUACAUACAUAGUUUAAUAUCUGUUUGAAUAUGCAAAAUGAAAAAGAAUACAAGCUUAUCGAAAAAUGUACGUACAUAUUAGAACGUGUACAUAUACAUAAAACACAAGCAUUUACACUAAAAACUCUACAUGUCCCCACACUCUUUGACAUUCAUCAAUAUAAAUAAAAGCACAAACACAAAGAUUUAUUAAGUAUAUAUUAAGAGAACAUGGCUCCAUGGUAGGAAGGAAAAUGAAGUGAGCUUGUC